rnacentral:rRNA from 1 species
GGUUUGAUCAUGGCUCAGAUUGAACGCUGGCGGGAUGUUUACACAUGCAAGUCGAACGGCAGCACGGACUUCGGUCUGGUGGCGAGUGGCGAACGGUGAGUAAUGUAUCGGAACGUGCCUAGUAGCGGGGAUAAUCAGCAGCGUAGCUAAUACCGCAUGGGCCGCCCUUCGGUGGCGCGGGGACCUGGGCCUCGCACUAUUAGAGCGCCGAUAUCGGAUUAGCUGAAGGCGGGGGUAACGGUCACCUCAAGGCGACGAUCCGUAGCUGGUUUGAGAGGACGACCAGCCACACCUGGGACCGAGACACGGCCCAGGGACUCUACGGAGGCAGCAGUGGGGAAUUUUGACAAUGAGGGGAAACCCUGAUCCAGCCGGAUCCCGCGUGUGCGAUGGCUACCUUCGGGUUGUAAAGCACUUUGGCAGGAAGAAACGGCACGGGAUAAUACCCCGUGCAACUGACGGUACCUGUGAAUAGCCAGCCUGGCAACUACGUGCCAGCCGCAUAAUACUGUGAGGUGCAGCGUUAUCGAAUGAUUAGCGUGGUUGUGUGCAGGCGGUUCGGAAGAAAGAUGAAAUCCCAGGCUUAACUUUUGAACUGCAUUUGAACUACCGCGCCAGAGUGUGCCGGAGUGAACUGCGUAGUAGUGAAACAUGUAGAUGAUGCCAUAUGGAGGAACCUGAUAUGAAGGCGUGUCACCCAGAUAGCCACUCACGACGCACGAAAUGUGUAGCAAACAGGCUAGAUACCUGCAGUUCCGGGCCUUGAACGAUAUCACUACGUUGGGCCUUCGAGCCGGUGGCGUAGCACCGUGUUGACGCCCAGAGUACUGUCGGGGAUUGAACCAAGGAAUUGCUGACUUUCACGCUGACGACCAAUCAAUCUGACUGGAAUCGCAGAAAACCUGAUCAAACUGAUGAUUGGAACUCGAAGAGAUUGGUGCUUCAGGCGAGUCAGAACACAGUGCCGCAUGGCUGUCGUGCUGCUGUAUCGAGAGCGAAUGUCCCGCAGAUUCAGCGGCAACCCUUGUCAUUAGUUGCUACGAAAGGCGACUCUGGUCGAGACUGCCGGUGACAAACCGGAGGAAGGUGGGGAUGACGUCAAGUCCCGCGGCCCCAGGGUAGGCUUCACACGUCACAAUGGUCGACAGAGGGUCGCCAACCCGGGGCGAGGUGGUGCCAAUCCCAGAAACCCGAUCGUAGUCCGAUCGCAGUUCGCAACUCGACUGCGUGAAGUCGGAAUCGCUAGUAAUCGCGGAUCGCGCUGUCGCGGUGAAUACGUUCCCUGGCCCUGCACACACCGCCCGUCACACCAUGUGGAGCGGGUUUUACCAGAAGUAGUUAGCCUAACUGUAAGGAGGGCGAUUACCACGGUAGGAUUCAUGACCGGGGUGAAGUCGUAACAAGGUAA